CUGUGUUUAUGAUUUUCCCAGUUAAACAUAACUGUAUUAUACAAUUAUAGCCUUUGUAUGAUGUCGAUACAAGAAUAUAUUGACCUGAAAGAAGUAUAUUGACCUGAAAGAAGCAUAUUGACUGAGGACGAAGUCCGAGGUUGAUAUACUUCUUUGGGUCGAUAUAUCCUGUAUUGAUCUCAUAAAUAGGCUAUAAUUGUUAUAUUAUUAAUUUCCGACCG
rnacentral:lncRNA from 1 species